rnacentral:rRNA from 1 species
UACGAAGGGGGCUAGCGUUGCUCGGAAUCACUGGGCGUAAAGCGCACGUAGGCGGAUUGCUAAGUCAGGGGUGAAAUCCUGGGAGCUCAACUCCAGAACUGCCUUUGAUACUGGCAACCUUGAGUCCGGGAGAGGUGAGUGGAACUGCGAGUGUAGAGGUGAAAUUCGUAGAUAUUCGCAAGAACACCAGUGGCGAAGGCGGCUCACUGGCCCGGUACUGACGCUGAGGCACGAAAGCGUGGGGAGCAAACAGG